rnacentral:rRNA from 1 species
GAUGAACGCUGGCGGCGUGCUUAACACAUGCAAGUCGAACGGAAAGGCUCCUGCUUGCAGGGGUACUCGAGUGGCGAACGGGUGAGUAACACGUGGGUGAUCUGCCCUGCACUUCGGGAUAAGCCUGGGAAACUGGGUCUAAUACCGGAUAGGACCACAUUUUGGAUGGUGUGGUGGAAAGUUUUUCGGUGUGGGAUGAGCUCGCGGCCUAUCAGCUUGUUGGUGGGGUAAUGGCCUACCAAGGCGUCGACGGGUAGCCGGCCUGAGAGGGAGUACGGCCACAUUGGGACUGAGAUACGGCCCAGACUCCUACGGGAGGCAGCAGUGGGGAAUAUUGCACAAUGGGCGCAAGCCUGAUGCAGCGACGCCGCGUGGGGGAUGACGGCCUUCGGGUUGUAAACUCCUUUCGCUAGGGACGAAGCGCAAGUGACGGUACCUGGAGAAGAAGCACCGGCUAACUACGUG